rnacentral:rRNA from 1 species
ACUUUGAAAAAAUUAGAGUGCUCAAAGCAGGCGCGACGCCUGAAUAAUGGUGCAUGGAAUAAUGGAAUAGGACCUCUGUUCUAUUUUGUUGGUUUUAGGAACACGAGGUAAUGAUUAAGAGGGACAGACGGGGGCAUUCGUAUUGCGACGCUAGAGGUGAAAUUCUUGGACCGCCGCACGACGAACUACUGCGAAAGCAUUUGCCAAGAAUGUUUCCAUUAAUCAAGAACGAAAGUUAGAGGUCCGAAGGCGAUCAGAUACCGCCCUAGUUCUAACCAUAAACGAUGCCAGCCAGCGAUCCGGCUGCGUUCCUCAAAUGACGCGCCGGGCAGCUUCCGGGAAACCAAAGCUUUUGGGUUCCGGGGGGAGUAUGGUUGCAAAGCUUAAACUUGAAGGAAUUGACGGAAGCGCAAACAAGGAAUGGGGCCUGCGGUUCAAUUUGACUCAACACGGUGCAACUCUCCUGGCCCGGACACAGGAAGGAUUGACAGAUUGAGAGCUCUUUCUUGAUUCUGUGAUAGGUGGUGCAUGGCCGUUUCUGGUUGGUGGAGUGAUUUGUCUGCUUUAUUGCGAUAACGAGCGAGACUCUAGCCUACUAAAUAGACGGUGCGAUCCUUCUGAGUCGCACGUUCUUCUUAGAGGGACAGGCGGUGUUCAGCCGCACGAAGCAGAGCAAAAACAGGUCAGGAUGCCCUUAGAUGUUCGGGGCCACACGCGCGCCACAUUGAAGGAACCAGCGUGUGCUUUCCCUGUCCGACAGGACUGGGUAACCCGUUGAAACUCCUUCGUGCUGGGGAUAGGGGUUUGUAAUUGUCCCCCUUGAACGAGGAAUUUCAAGUAAGCAUGAGUCAUCAGCUCGUGUUGAUUACGUCCCUGCGCUUUGUACACACCGCCCGUCGCUAUUAUCGAUGAAUUUUGGAGUGAGAUCUU